UGGGAUUGUUCAUCAUCUGGGUGA
rnacentral:misc_RNA from 1 species